rnacentral:rRNA from 1 species
CCUCCCACCCGUGUUGCCCGAACCUAUGUUGCCUCGGCGGGCCCCGCGCCCGCCGACGGCCCCCCUGAACGCUGUCUGAAGUUGCAGUCUGAGACCUAUAACGAAAUUAGUUAAAACUUUCAACAACGGAUCUCUUGGUUCCGGCAUCGAUGAAGAACGCAGCGAAAUGCGAUAACUAAUGUGAAUUGCAGAAUUCAGUGAAUCAUCGAGUCUUUGAACGCACAUUGCGCCCUCUGGUAUUCCGGAGGGCAUGCCUGUCCGAGCGUCAUUGCUGCCCUCAAGCCCGGCUUGUGUGUUGGGCCCCGUCCCCCCCGCCGGGGGGACGGGCCCGAAAGGCAGCGGCGGCACCGCGUCCGGUCCUCGAGCGUAUGGGGCUUCGUCACCCGCUCUAGUAGGCCCGGCCGGCGCCAGCCGACCCCCAACCUUUAAUUAUCUCAGGUUGACCUCGGAUCAGGUAGGGAUACCCGCUGAACUUAAGCAUAUCAAU